rnacentral:rRNA from 1 species
CCUACGGGAGACAGCAGUGAGGAAUAUUGGUCAAUGGGCGCAAGCCUGAACCAGCCAAGUCGCGUGAGGGAUGACGGUCCUAUGGAUUGUAAACCUCUUUUGUCGGGGAGCAAGUCCCGCCACGUGUGGCGGGACGGAGAGUCCCCGACGACAAAGCAUCGGCUAACUCCGUGCCAGCAGCCGCGGUAAUACGGAGGAUGCGAGCGUUAUCCGGAUUUAUUGGGUUUAAAGGGUGCGUAGGCGGAAGGUUAAGUCAGCGGUCAAAUGUCGGUGCUCAACACCGGCCUGCCGUGGAAACUGGUAGUCUUGAGUGAGCGAGAAGUAAGCGGAAUGCGUGGUGUAGCGGUGAAAUGCAUAGAUAUCACGAAGAACUCCGAUGGCGAAGGCAGCAUACCGGCGCUCAACUGACGCUGAGGCACGAAAGCGUGGGGAUCGAACAGGAUUAGAUACCCCUGUAGUC